rnacentral:lncRNA from 1 species
CCCUUCGGCUUACAUAAAGCAAUGUCUUGGGGGAAUAAUUAUUACAAGUCUGAAAUAGCAGCGGAAAACAUAAACGACGCGUGGUGCCUCCAUCUCAGCCACAGGUAGUCGAUGUAGCACAAGAGGCCGCACUCCUCAGGUUCACCGUAGUAGUCACCGUCAACAUCUUCCUCUUCAUAGUACUCUGUACAACGACAACAACAACAACAACAAACCAUCACCAUGAGUACAUUACGUACUCAGCGUGCCCUCUCUAGGAACCUUAUUUGAAAUACAACUAUACUUUUGAUGAAUGCGGUUUUGAUAACACAAGUUUUAUCUUAAAAGUAUUAUCCAUCCACGUGAGGGUCCUCGACCACUCACCCAAAACCUUAGUCCCAGCAAGAAGUUAGAGAGGGAGAUAGGAAGGGAAAGAAGACAGGUCCCGUAUGCCAAGAAAGAAUCAUGUGUCGUUCAUGACCGUGGACACGGCUAUUCGAAUAGUUUUACACUCUGCAGAGGUUGUGCGUUGUACCCACAUGACACGAUCUCGCAUUGGGCCUAACCAGCAGCUAACUAGUGAAUACACUCACAAUAGUGUACCGACUGCGAGUUCGUGACAAGGUCUUUCAAAAGAACAUACUUAAUGUGACACGCCCACUAGGUUUCAACACGGAAGAACAUCGCUUGUCGGUUCACAGUCCGGGCUCCCCUUUUGUGCCGAGGGUUCCCUAUGUCAGGCGACACCCCAUGAGCGGUACGGCUAUGACCACACUAAGCAUGAACUCCAUACUAAACCAAGCCAGAGCCCAUAUAGCAUGUGGUCGCACGGUUGUCACAAUCUUCAGGUUCAAGACUUUUUAGGCCUCAUCCACUACGGGUGGCGAAUUGCUCCCACACAGGCUAGCAAUUGCUCCUUUAACCAAUGAUCCAGCUGCCGCCCGCACCAGUUGUAUGGUAAGUUUCACCUGGAGUAGGUAGAAAGAGUAGAAGGGGAUUCCAAGAAGAGGGACUACGCCUAGCUUGGCAAGCUCAACAACUUUUAGUAAUGGUAUCAUUGAUCCGAAGAUCACUUAGAAUCCUUGAAGAGACUUCCUAGUGAAUAAUAUGAGCGUGGCUAAGCAUUUCUACUCUAAAAGAUUACUAUAUAAAACUACUCCAGGUAUCAAAGGAAUGGUGACAAGCAGAUCAUGGCAAAGUGUCAAUCGACACACUAGCUACAGGAAUAAAAUAGCAUGCAUGUUUAUAAAAUAAUAAAAUAACUAACUAAUGCCCAUUUGAAAACAUAGGAUAAAUAUGAUCAGAGAGGGGGGGGGGGGCAUGCCUUCGUUAUCGGGGUACUGUUCUUCUCCUUCGUGGCCCUGGUUGUGGUCGAUCCCGUCACUCCCUAAUCGUCGUAAAAAUAAAGUGCCACCAAAUAAAUAAACGAAUCCAAUAAAAGAAUCCAAAAGAAGAAUCCGAGAGAAAACGGGAUCAACACUUGAACCGGCUUAGAAAAGGAUAGGGUUGUACACGGAGUGUGUGUCUCUGAGUCGUGGAAUAGUAAAAGAGUGUGGAACUAGGGAAUCCUUACUGCUGUCCUCCUAAGGUCCUUAACCAUAGUAUAUCAUGAUAUCCUCCCAUAUAACCUUAUUAAGUAAAGUAGUAUGGUCUAAUUUAUUUUAGGCACUCAAGAAUCAAGCAAACAUGAAUAUACAGUAAGGAAAAGAGAAUAGGGCAGAGAACAGGGCAGCUACUGUACUAAGCAUGUAGAGCAUCCAAGAAAUAAACACUAGCUACUUUCUAAGCUAAGCAGGAUGCCAACAGUAUGCAAAAUUUAAUAAUUGACUCACAUCUCUAAGCAUAGAAGAAUUAAACCUCAACAUGGCAUUUGCUGCAGAUUUCAGAAAACUGAAACUGUACAAGCACUGGAGUGUAUUCAGAAACAACAAUACACAGAAAACUAAAACUCUACUAUUGCCGGAACAGAUUCAGAACAGCAGCCUAUAACUCACAGAAUUGGAAGGCAAAAUUCAUACAAAGUAGCAGGGAUUCAUGGUGACUAAAACAAUUAAACCUGCAAGCAUCUAAUCUUUAUAUGUGCUACUGAAACUGAACACUAGCAUGCUGAAAAUUGACAGUUAAGCAUCCAACAAUUAAACAAUCUGAACUUCAUGGCAAACAAUUACAGAAUAUGCACUGAAAUAAAGAAUAUCAUCCUAGCUGCUGCUACUGAAACUAGAAGACUAAAGAUCCCCUGACUAGAACAUGAGCUAUUCUCCAACAGUGCUAAAUAAACUGAAUAAUUUUGCCACUGCACAAACCUGCGGAUUCAACUACCAAUAAUCUUGGUGAACAAAACAACUAUUUGCACAAGGCCCCAAGUGUCUCUAUAAUCCAUUUUCGUCAGGCUAGAAACUAAACCUUCUAAACCCAACCUAGUGGCUGACUAUAGAAGAAGGAAGUGAGUUCAGGUGCAUGUACUCGCCGGAGAAAGAACUGCUGUGGUGUGGGCUGAUGGUAAAAUGGAAUCAGCGUGGCUGCGAGGGAGGGAAAUGGCGGUGGUUACCUGGCUGGCGGCGGACGGAAAGACUGACGCCGAUUAUGCCCCGAGUUGUGGCCGGGCCUGCCUGUAGCGGGAAUGGGGAAACGAAAGGAUCUGCUGCUCAAGGAGAGGGGAGUUUAAAGGGGCAGCCAGGAUAUGGAAAUGGAGAGAGUAAUGGGAGAAACGGCAGGAGAAGGGGACGAGGAACAGCCAUGGUUUCUUGCAUUGAUAUGGGCAGCAGUAACUGUGUUACGAGGAGGAAGAAGAAGGGACUCAGUCUGCAGCCUUGGCCACGUACUGGAUGAGAAAAAAAAAAUGAAAUGGCAAGGCCCAUGAAAGAGGAAAAGAAAAGAAAGAGAGAUGGGCUAGAGAAAUCAGCCCAUCAAGCAAAAAUUGGCCUUUUAAUCUCAUAAAUCAUAGAAUUAGAUCGAUGCAAAACUGAAUCCAAACCGAGAGCAAACAAUCUGAGAAAAGGAUUUUUUUUGUAACUCAAGUUAAAGAUAUGAAUCCAACGAACAUUUUUCCAAUGCCAAAAGUCAAGGAUAUUAAGGAAUUGUAUUUCCACUUUUUUCUUAUGCUAAAUUAAUUCCAAAAACAUUUGGAAUUAAAAAAAAUUUGGCAACCCCAACCAAGAUACUUUAUUGAUAUUGAGUAUGCUGUAACAUCCUUGGCUUAUGAAAAAGAGAAGAAGAAAAAAUGACUGAACAAUCAGGAGGUUACAGUUUUCAACGACGCUGGCUAUCCCAACACCCACAAAACUUUUAAUCCUGAAACCAUCGUCAUAACUCACGUUGCAGCCUAGGUCAUCA